GCCUUCGUGGUGUAACGGUAGCACACUCGUUGCGAAUUCGAGAAGCUCAGGUUCGAGUCCCGGCUAGGGCU
rnacentral:tRNA from 1 species